rnacentral:rRNA from 1 species
UACGUAGGGUCCGAGCGUUGUCCGGAAUUACUGGGCGUAAAGGGUGCGUAGGCGGUCGGGUAAGUCUGAUGUGAAAUCUCACAGCUUAACUGUGAAACUGCAUUGGAUACUAUCCGGCUAGAGGAAUGGAGGGGAGACUGGAAUACUUGGUGUAGCAGUGAAAUGCGUAGAUAUCAAGUGGAACACCAGUGGCGAAGGCGAGUCUCUGGACAUUUCCUGACGCUGAGGCACGAAAGCCAGGGGAGCAAACGGG